GGGUUCUGGUGCUCCCCCAUUCCUGGUUUUCCUUCUCUGGAUCAGGGACAGGCCGGGGGUGGCUCCUGUCACCCCAGUGUCACCCUGGUGUCACCCCAGUGUCACCCCAGGGUCACCCCAGUGUCACCGCAGUGUCCCCAAGCCUGGGGGAUUUGGGGUCCCUGGGGAUUUUGGGGGGUUCUGGUGCUCCCCCAUUCCUGGUUUUUCCUCUGGAGAGCGGGGACAGGCCGGGGGUGGCUCCUGUGUCACCCCAGUGUCACCCUGGUGUCACCCCAGGGUCACCCCAGUGCCACCCCUGGGGUCACCGCGGUGUCCCCAGGCCUGGGGGAUUUGGGGUCCCGGGGGAUUUUGGGGGUUCUGCUGCUCCCCCAUUCCUGGUUUUCCUUCUCUGGAUCAGGGACAGGCUGGGGGUGGCUCCUGUGUCACCCCAGGGUCACCCCAGUGUCACCCCCGGGGUCACCCCGGGGUCACCCCAGUGUCACCGCAGUGUCCCCAAGCCCGGGGGAUUUGGGGUCCCGGGGGAUUUUGGGGGUUCUGGUGCUCCCCCAUUCCUGGUUUUCCUUCUCUGGAUCAGGGACAGGCUGGGGGUGGCUCCUGUCACCCUGGUGUCACCCCGGUGUCACCCCAGUGUCACCCCAGGGUCACCCCAGGGUCACCCCAGUGUCCCCAAGCCUGGGGGAUUUGGGGUCCCUGGGGAUUUUGGGGGUUCUGGUGCUCCCCCAUUCCUGAUUUUCCUUCUCUGGAUCAGGGACAGGCCGGGGGUGGCUCCUGUGUCACCCCAGUGUCACCCCCGGGGUCACUCCCGGGGUCACCGCGGUGUCCCCAAGCCCGGGGGACAAACCCAGGAUGCCCCGUGGGAGGAUUUGGGGUGUUUUAGAAGGAUUUUGGGGGCUCCGGUGUCCCCGUUCCCGGUUUUCCGUCUCUGUCCCUGCCCUGGGGUGACACCGGGCCCGGGAACUGGGAAUGAGCUGGAACUGGUCCUGGGGGACAGGGACACAGGGACAGGGAUGGGGACACAGGGACAGGGAUGGGGACACAGGGGACAGGGACAGGGACAGGGACAGGGACAGGGACAGGGACAGGGACAGGGACAGAGGGGACAGGGAUGGGGACACAGGGGACAGGGACAGGGACAGGGACAGGGGG
ensembl:lncRNA